UUUUUUUUUUUUUACCUUAGCAACUAUGUAAAACACUUUAAAAUGACAAAUAAGUACACAUCAUACUUGUUUUUGUUUAUAGUGAACUGUUUAUCGAUGAUAAAACAAUGCAUGUUCUUUAAACUGAAAAAUGUUAUGUUUAGGCAUUGUUUAAAGUACUUAGGUUAAGCAAAUUGGCUUGUCCUCAUAGUGACCCAUUAGAGUUGUGGUGAGAUGUUUUGGGGAAUUAUAGAUGUAUAUCUAAUAUUUUGGAUGCUAGAAAGUAAACAUUGUGAGCAACAUGUUUAAUCAUAUAACUUCGGUAAAUUAUUAUAAUAUAUAUAACAAAAAUUGUUCCCCCUUUGUUCUCCCCAAUUCUGUCAUAUCCAAUUACGAUCUUGUCUCAUCGCUGCAACUCCCCAACGGGCUCGGAGGUCGAGUCAUGCGUCCUCCGAAACAUGACACGCCAAACCAAACUCCUUAACACCCGCCCGCUUAACCCGGAAGCCAGCCGCACCAAUGUGUCAGAGGAAACACAGUUCAACUGACAAUUGAAGUCAGCCUGCAGGCGUCCGACCCGACAUAAUGAGUCACUAGAGCGCAAUGAGCUAAUCCUCAAUUACCUAAAAUGUGUCAUUGGUGUUACUACUCCUACAGGUGACAAUGGGAAGACAUUUUUUUAAAUCUAUUACAAUUAUGUAAAUGAUUUCCAAAAUGCCAUGCCCAUAUGCCACCGCAAUUCAAGAACGACCGUGUGCUAAAGGCGAAGUGAAAAUAUCAGCUACACAUACAGUAGUUUCAAACCCUCUAUAUCAAGCCUGAAGAUGUAUGAAUGUCCUUCUUUCACAUUUCCAGUGAAAAGGCCAAAACAAGCAACGCCACCAAGCAAACCAUUCAAAAUGAUGAGUUGUAUUAAAAAGUAUCGAUUCAACAUAGAGAACAAUAAAUCCACAUCGUAAGUAUGAUUAAUAAAAUAAAUUAUACAAAAGUGGAGGCAUGUCAAGACUUCCGCCGAAGUCAGCUCCUCUCCUUGUUCGGCGUCAGCGGCUUUCUAGCCAUCGCCGCUCCAUUUCUCAUGUUCCAUUUGUUUUGUCUUGUUCCCUGCACACCUGGUUUUCAUUCCAUAGUCACACUGCAUGUAUUUAGUCCUCUGUUCCCCUCCAUGUCUUUGUGUGUAAUUAUUUAUUGUUACGUGGACAUUUUGUCAGGCGCUGCACUUUUGUAUUAGACUGUGUUUUUUGGCACUAGUAUGUUUAUGUGCUGUCGUUUGUUGACCGGUAUUAAAGUGCGCCUGUUUAUUAUACUCCACUCUCCUGCACUUGACAACGCCUCCCAUAUCCACGCCUAACAAGGCAUGAAGAUUUUUUAAAAACUGUGCAAAAAUCUGUAUGCCAAUGAAAAAUGUUAAUGUAAAUAAAGUGAUGUUACAUUAAUUUA
ensembl:lncRNA